rnacentral:rRNA from 1 species
AGUGAACGCUGGCGGUAGGCCUAACACAUGCAAGUCGAACGGCAGCACAGUAAGAGCUUGCUCUUACGGGUGGCGAGUGGCGGACGGGUGAGGAAUACAUCGGAAUCUACUUUUUCGUGGGGGAUAACGUAGGGAAACUUACGCUAAUACCGCAUACGACCUACGGGUGAAAGCAGGGGAUCUUCGGACCUUGCGCGAUUGAAUGAGCCGAUGUCGGAUUAGCUAGUUGGCGGGGUAAAGGCCCACCAAGGCGACGAUCCGUAGCUGGUCUGAGAGGAUGAGGGGGCACACGGGAACUGAGACACGGUCGAGACACAUACGGGAGGCACAAGUAGGGAAUGUUCAGGAAUGGGCGAAAGCCUGACGGCGCAACGCCGCGAGAAUGAUGAAGGUAUUAGGAUCGUAAAACGCUGGGAUUAGGGAAGACAAUAUGUGUAAGUAACGCGGCACAGCAUGACGGUACGUAAUCAGAACAACACUGCUAACUAGGUG